rnacentral:rRNA from 1 species
AGGACAAACGCUGGCGGCGUACCUAAGACAUGCAAGUCGAACGGGACACUCCGCCUUCGGGUGGAGAGUCGAGUGGCGGACGGGUGAGUAACGCGUAGGAACCUGUCGCCUGAGUGGGGGAUAACGCGGGGAAACCUGCGCUAAUACCGCAUGGCGUCCCGCAAGGGACGAAAGCCUCAUGCAAGUGAGGCGCCGGGUGAGGGGCCUGCGUCCGAUUAGCUAGUUGGUGGGUAACGGCCUACCAAGGCGACGAUCGGUAGCUGGU